UAGGGAAUCUUCCACAAUGGACGCAAGUCUGAUGGAGCAACGCCGCGUGAGUGAAGAAGGUUUUCGGACCGUAAAGCUCUGUUGUUGGUGAAGAAGGAUAGAGGUAGUAACUGGCCUUUAUUUGACGGUAAUCAACCAGAAAGUCGCGGCUAACUACGUGCCAGCAGCCGCGGUAAUCGUAGGUGGCAAGCGUUGUCCGGAUUUAUUGGGCGUAAAGCGAGCGCAGGCGGAAGAAUAAGUCUGAUGUGAAAGCCCUCGGCUUAACCGAGGAAUUGCAUCGGAAACUGUUUUUCUUGAGUGCAGAAGAGGAGAGUAGAACUCCAUGUGUAGCGGUGGAAUGCGUAGAUAUAUGGAAGAAUACCAGUGGCGAAGGCGGCUCUCUGGUCUGCAACUGACGCUGAGGCUCGAAAGCAUGGGUAGCGAACAGGAUUAGAUACCCUGGUAGUCCAUGCCGUAAACGAUGAGUGCUAAGUGUUGGGAGGCUUCCGCCUCUCAGUGCUGCAGCUAACGCAUUAAGCACUCCGCCUGGGGGAGUACGACCGCAAGGUU
rnacentral:rRNA from 1 species